UAUAAGUAUAAACGAUUUAAUCGUGAAACCGCGAACGGCUCAUUAUAACAGCUAUAAUUUACUUGAUCUUGACUUCCUACUUGGAUAACUGUGGUAAUUCUAGAGCUAAUACAUGCACCAAAGCUCCGACCUUACGGGAAGAGCGCAUUUAUUCGAACAAAACCAAGCGGCUUCGGCCGUCCGCAGUUGACUCAGAAUAACUAAGCUGAUCGCAUGGUCUUGUACCGGCGACGUGUCUUUCAAGUAUCUGCCUUAUCAACUUUCGAUGGUAGUGUAUCUGACUACCAUGGUGGUGACGGGUAACGGAGGAUAAGGGUUCGACUCCGGAGAAGGGGCCUGAGAAAUGGCCACUACGUCUAAGGAUGGCAGCAGGCGCGCAAAUUACCCACUCUCAGAAUGAGGAGGUAGUGACGA
rnacentral:rRNA from 1 species